rnacentral:rRNA from 1 species
AUGGCUAGUUACUUUGCCAAACUUUGCAGACUGAGACAUGUAGUUCUCGUUUUCAUCAUUUGCUCUGUCGACAUUCCAGGGAAAGAUAUUGGUGGCGUGUUUUUGGAAAUGUGGUUUAGAAAAUUACAUGAUGUUUCUGCACAUAAUUUGGUGAGCGUCAAGAGCAAUGUUUGUAUAUUUCACCUGCCUCUCUAUUGCCUGCGCUUACAUUUGUGCUUCUAUCUUAGUAUGUUUUUCAGGCAUGCACCACAUGGAAUGGAACUUGUGAUGAUGCAAAUGUGUCCGCAUCAUUAUUACAGUUAUGAAGAUCAUAAUGCUGUUCUACGUAUCUGCUGUACCAUUGUUUUCAUAGGACAACCGUGUGAUUUUACCUGUUUCUGUGUGCUAAAUUGGAUUGAUCUAUGGCGGUGA